ACUAGAUGGACUCUUUCUCAAAAACAAUUUAUUAAAUUUUACUUUUUAGUAAAAAGGCUAAAAUAUUUCUCUUAGACAAGAAGACCCUAUGAAGUUUUAUAUAUUUGGAAUAUAAAAAUUCUUAGUUAUAUUUUGCUGGGGCGGCAAGCAAGUUAUUCAUUGUUUAAAUUUUAAUACUAAAGAGUGAGAAUAACCAAAACUUUUGAAGUAAAAACAAAUUACUCUAGGGAUAACAGCGUAAUUUAGUUUGAAAGUUCUUAUUGACAACUAAGUUUGCGACCUCGAUGUUGGAUUAAAAGUCCUUUUCUGUGUAUAAGUGGAGUAAGGAGGUCUGUUCGACCUUAAAACUUUUCCA
rnacentral:rRNA from 1 species